GGAAGUAAAAUCGUAACAAGGUCUCCGUUGGUGAACCAGCGGAGAGAUCAUUACAGAGUUGCAAAACUCCCAAACCAUUGUGAACGUUACCUAUCCCGUUGCUUCGGCGGGCGGCCCGGGCCCCGCGCCCGGCGCCCCCCGGCCCCCCGUGGGCGCCCGCCGGAGGUAAACCAAACCCUUGAAUUGCAUGGCCUCUCUGAGUCUUCUGUACUGAAUAAGUCAAAACUUUCAACAACGGAUCUCUUGGUUCUG
rnacentral:misc_RNA from 1 species